ACGGCUCAGUAACACGUGGAUAACCUGCCCUUGGGUCCGGCAUAACCCCGGGAAACUGGGGAUAAUUCCGGAUAACGCAUAUCUGCUGGAAUGCUUUAUGCGUAAAAUGGAUUCGUCUGCCCAAGGAUGGGUCUGCGGCCUAUCAGGUAGUAGUGGGUGUAAUGGACCUACUAGCCAACAACGGGUACGGGUUGUGAGAGCAAGAGCCCGGAGAUGGAUUCUGAGACAUGAAUCCAGGCCCUACGGGGCGCAGCAGGCGCGAAAACUUUACAAUGCGGGAAACCGUGAUAAGGGGACACCGAGUGCCAGCAUCAUAUGCUGGCUGUCCAGGUGUGUAAAAUACACCUGUUAGCAAGGGCCGGGCAAGACCGGUGCCAGCCGCCGCGGUAACACCGGCGGCCCGAGUGGUGAUCGUGAUUAUUGGGUCUAAAGGGUCCGUAGCCGGUUUGGUCAGUCCUCCGGGAAAUCUGACAGCUCAACUGUUAGGCUUUCGGGGGAUACUGCCAGACUUGGAACCGGGAGAGGUAAGAGGUACUACAGGGGUAGGAGUGAAAUCUUGUAAUCCCUGUGGGACCACCUGUGGCGAAGGCGUCUUACCAGAACGGGUUCGACGGUGAGGGACGAAAGCUGGGGGCACGAACCGGAUUAGAUACCCGGGCAGUCCCAGCCGUAAACGAUGCUCGCUAGGUGUCAGGCAUGGCGCGACCGUGUCUGGUGCCGCAGGGAAGCCGUGAAGCGAGCCACCUGGGAAGUACGGCCGCAAGGCUGAAACUUAAAGGAAUUGGCGGGGGAGCAC
rnacentral:rRNA from 1 species